rnacentral:tRNA from 1 species
GGCCCUAUCGUCUAGCCUGGUCUAGGACACAAGCUUCUCAAGCUUGGAACUCGGGUUCAAAUCCCGAUGGGGUCA